GCUUUCAGAUAAUUCCACAGACCAGCCUGGAAUUCAACAUCCUGACACUGCUCUCACUGAAGAAGUGACCACCUGCAGAGAUUACCA
rnacentral:lncRNA from 1 species